UAAGGAAUAUUGGUCAAUGGGCGCAAGCCUGAACCAGCCAUGCCGCGUGCAGGAAGACGGCCCUAUGGGUUGUAAACUGCUUUUGUCAGGGAAUAAACCUUUGUACGAGUACAGAGCUGAAGGUACCUGAAGAAUAAGCAUCGGCUAACUCCGUGCCAGCAGCCGCGGUAAUACGGAGGAUGCAAGCGUUAUCCGGAUUCAUUGGGUUUAAAGGGUGCGCAGGCGGAUUGGUAAGUCAGGGGUGAAAUCCCACAGCUUAACUGUGUAACUGCCGUUGAUACUGUCAGGCUAGAGUAUAGUUGAAGUUGGCGGAAUGUGUCAUGUAGCGGUGAAAUGCUUAGAUAUGACACAGAACACCGAUGGCGAAGGCAGCUAGCUAAGCUAUAACUGACGCUCAUGCACGAAAGCGUGGGGAUCAAACA
rnacentral:rRNA from 1 species